CUAGUGACUAGUCAUGUCAUGUAGCUACAUCGUACAGUACAGCAUACGACACUUCACAAACUGCUACAAUACGAUGUCAUGUCUUCUACGAUUACAAGAAACGCUGAGAGAUAGUACGAGGCACAGACGCAAUAUGUGAUACACGGAAUUAGAGCAGAUGUUGACAGAGUGCUGGUCUACAAUUGACUAGUUUAGGAUACCCGCGUAAUACGCGCCCGACCUCCCCCUAUCACUGGGAUAACACACUGAAAAGCAGCUAAUACCAGAUCACAUUAUGCUUAGGUAUCAUUAGCUUAUCUAGUUUUCCGAGAAAGACGGGCCCGCGUCUGAGUAGCUAGUUGGAGGGCUCAGUCUCACCAAGGCUACGAUCAGUAGCUGACCUGAGAAAUGAUCGGCACACUGCACUUAGACAAGGUUCAAACUCAUACG
rnacentral:rRNA from 1 species